rnacentral:rRNA from 1 species
ACGGAGGGUGCAAGCGUUGUCCGGAAUCAUUGGGCGUAAAGAGUUCGUAGGUGGUUUAUUAAGUCUGGUGUUAAAGGCCGAAGCUCAACUUCGGUAAGGCACUGGAUACUGGUAGACUUGAAUGCGGUAGAGGUAAAGGGAAUUCCUGGUGUAGCGGUGAAAUGCGUAGAUAUCAGGAGGAACAUCGGUGGCGUAAGCGCUUUACUGGGCCGUAAUUGACACUGAGGAACGAAAGCCGGGGUAGCAAAUGG